rnacentral:tRNA from 1 species
AAAGGGAGACCUAAUUCGGGUAGGAGACGAAAAAAAAGUAGUCCCUACCAAGAAUCAAUCCCAAAAGGUCGGAACGAGGUAUGUGGCUUUCAAACUAGGUUCUGGGUUCAUAAAAGACCUAAUUCAGGUAAAAGACGAAAAAAAAGUAGUCGCUACCAAGAAUCAAUCCCAAAAGGUCGGAGCGAGGCGAAAUUGGCUUUCAAACUAGGUUCUGGGUUCAAACAAGACCUGAAUCAGGAACAAGGGCUAUUAGCUCAGGUGGUUAGAGCGCACCCCUGAUAAGGGUGAGGUCCCUGGUUCGAGUCCAGGAUGGCCCACCUGCACAGGUGGCAAAAACAAGAGAAGCGAGGAAUCAGCACCUUAUCUUACUGACAUAGUAAGAGAGAAUGCUGGCUCUGAGUAAAGAGUCCAGAGGAACCUUGAAAACUGCAUAGAGCUAGGUGAAAAAGCCAAAAAAGAAGACCGCAAG